CCUACGGGUGGCAGCAGUGAGGAAUAUUGGUCAAUGGACGAGAGUCUGAACCAGCCAAGUAGCGUGAAGGAUGACUGCCCUAUGGGUUGUAAACUUCUUUUAUAAAGGAAUAAAACGAGGCACGUGUGCCUUUUUGCAUGUACUUUAUGAAUAAGGAUCGGCUAACUCCGUGCCAGCAGCCGCGGUAAUACGGAGGAUCCGAGCGUUAUCCGGAUUUAUUGGGUGUAAAGGGAGCGUAGAUGGGUUGUUAAGUCAGUUGUGAAAGUUUGCGGCUCAACCGUAAAAUUGCAAUUGAUACUGGCAGUCUUGAGUACAGUAGAGGUAGGCGGAAUUCGUGGUGUAGCGGUGAAAUGCUUAGAUAUCACGAAGAACCCCGAUUGCGAAGGCAGCUUACUAAACUGUGACUGACAUUGAUGCUCGAAGGUGUGGGUAGCAAACAGGAUUAGAUACCCUAGUAGUC
rnacentral:rRNA from 1 species